rnacentral:rRNA from 1 species
UAGAGAUAGAAGUUACUUCGGUACAUCGGUGACAGGUGGUGCAUGGUUGUCGUCAGCUCGUGUCGUGAGAUGUUGGGUUAAGUCCCGCAACGAGCGCAACCCUUUUCCUUAUUUGCCAGCGGGUUAAGCCGGGAACUUUAAGGAUACUGCCAGUGACAAACUGGAGGAAGGCGGGGACGACGUCAAGUCAUCAUGGCCCUUACGACCAGGGCUACACACGUGCUACAAUGGUCGGUACAAAGGGUUGCUACCUAGCGAUAGGAUGCUAAUCUCAAAAAGCCGAUCGUAGUCCGGAUUGGAGUCUGCAACUCGACUCCAUGAAGUCGGAAUCGCUAGUAAUCGCGGAUCAGAAUGCCGCGGUGAAUACGUUCCCGGGCCUU